rnacentral:rRNA from 1 species
CUAAACCGACACAGGUGGGCGAGAUGAGUAUUCUAAGGCGCUCGGGAGAACCACUCUUAAGGAACUCGACCAAUUGACCCCGUAACUUCGGAAGAAGGGGUGCUCUCGCCGUCAUGGGCAUACGCCCGGCAGCGGUUGAGAGCGGCACUGAAAUGGCUCAGGCGACUGUUUAUCAAAAACACAGGUCUCUGCUAAGUCGUAAGACGACGUAUAGGGGCUGACGCCUGCCCAAUGCCGGAAGGUUAACGGGAGAGGUUAGCGUAAGCGAAGCUUUGAACCGAAGCCCCGGUUAAUGGCGGCCGUAACUAUAACGGUCCUAAGGUAGCGAAAUUCCUUGUCGGGUAAGUUCCGACCUGCACGAAUGGCGUAACGAUCUGAGCAUUGUCUCAAGGGUGGUCCCGGUGAAGUUGUAUUACCUGUGAAGAUGCAUGUUACCCGCAGUAGGACGGAAAGACCCUGUGCACCUUCACUGCAGAUUGAUAUUGGGUUUAGUUGUGGUUUGUAUAGGAUAGGUGGGAGUCAUUGAAGCUGGCGCGUUAGCGUCGGUGGAGACAACCUUGGAAUACCACCCUGACCUUAACUGAAUUCUAACUCCGAACCCGUGAAGCCGGGCGGAGGACAGUGUCUGUCGGGCAGUUUGACUGGGGCGGUCGCCUCCCAAAGAGUAACGGAGGCGCCCCAAGGUUCCCUCAGCACGGAUGGAAAUCGUGCGUCGAGUGUAAAGGCAAAAGGGAGCUUAACUGCGAGACCAACAAGUCGAGCAGAUACGAAAGUAGGGCUUAGUGAUCCAGCGGUCCCAUAUGGAAGGGCCGUUGCUCAACGGAUAAAAGGUACGCCGGGGAUAACAGGCUGAUAACCCCCAAGAGUUCACAUCGACGGGGUUGUUUGGCACCUCGAUGUCGGCUCGUCACAUCCUGGGGCUGAAGCAGGUCCCAAGGGUUCGUCUGUUCGCCGAUUAAAGUGGCACGCGAGCUGGGUUCAAAACGUCGCGAGACAGUUUGGUCCCUAUCCACUGCGGGCGUAGGAAAUUUGCGGGAAGCCGUCUCUAGUACAAGAGGACCGAGAUGGACAUACCCCUGGUGUUCCGGUUGUCACGCCAGUGGCAUCGCCGGGUAGCUAUGUAUGGACGGGAUAAGCGCUGAAAGCAUCUAAGCACGAAGCCCCUCCCAAGAUAAGAUUUCCCAGACCAUAAGGUCUCUAAAGGGCCCUCGAAGACUACGAGGUAAUAGGCUGGAGGUGUAAGCGUAGCGAUACGUUAAGCUGACCAGUACUAAUCAGCCCGUGCGGCUUGGUCUC